rnacentral:rRNA from 1 species
GGAUGCAACCAUCUUAUUAUCAACUCGGACAAUCUGGAGGUGAUUGAUACCAUGAAGGAAGGGGGACGGUCGGUGGGAGCGGUGGCGGUGAUCUUUGAUGAUUGUUUUCAUUUUGCUUGUGAUUUCCCUAUUACUAGAUUUGAGCAUUGUAAUAGAGAAGCAACUAAAAUUGCUCACAAGCUCGCUGCAUUAGCUAGAUUUUCUUUGACUUCUAAUUGGUUUGAGGAACCCUUAACUGAAAUUGUACCGAUCCUCAUAAACGAUGUAUUGCCUAUUUCCAAUGAAUAA